GAUUUCUGGUUUGGUGCGCCUGACCCGCCACGGUUUCGUGUGUGAGUGUUGGGUCGUGCCUGCCAUCCUUCUAGAGAACGUCUCUACUCUUCAUUGAGCCGGAGGCGCCAUCUAGAUCUUUUACUUUGAAAAAAUUAGAGUGUUUAAAGCAGGCAUGUUGCUAUGAAUACAUUAGCAUGGAAUAAUAACGUAGGACUUCGGUUCUAUUUUGUUGGUUUCUAGGACUGAAGUAAUGAUUGAUAGGGAUAGUUGGGGGUGCUAGUAUUCAGUGGCCAGAGGUGAAAUUCUCGGAUUCACUGAAGACUAACUUAUGCGAAAGCAUU
rnacentral:rRNA from 1 species